rnacentral:rRNA from 1 species
UACGAAGGGGGCUAGCGUUGCUCGGAAUGACUGGGCGUAAAGGGCGCGUAGGCGGCUUGCACCGUCAGAUGUGAAAUUCCUGGGCUUAACCUGGGGGCUGCGCUUGAGACGUAGGGUCUAGAGUUCGGAAGAGGGUCGUGGAAUUCCCAGUGUAGAGGUGAAAUUCGUAGAUAUUGGGAAGAACACCGGUGGCGAAGGCGGCGACCUGGUCCUGGACUGACGCUGAGGCGCGAAAGCGUGGGGAGCAAACAGG